UGAUGCAGCGACGCCGCGUGAGGGAUGACGGCCUUCGGGUUGUAAACCUCUUUCAGCAGGGAAGAAGCGAAAGUGACGGUACCUGCAGAAGAAGCGCCGGCUAACUACGUGCCAGCAGCCGCGGUAAUACGUAGGGCGCAAGCGUUGUCCGGAAUUAUUGGGCGUAAAGAGCUCGUAGGCGGUCUGUCACGUCGGAUGUGAAAGCCCGGGGCUUAACCCCGGGUCUGCAUUCGAUACGGGCAGACUAGAGUGUGGUAGGGGAGAUCGGAAUUCCUGGUGUAGCGGUGAAAUGCGCAGAUAUCAGGAGGAACACCGGUGGCGAAGGCGGAUCUCUGGGCCAUUACUGACGCUGAGGAGCGAAAGCGUGGGGAGCGAACAGGAUUAGAUACCCUGGUAGUCCACGCCGUAAACGGUGGGAACUAGGUGUUGGCGACAUUCCACGUCGUCGGUGCCGCAGCUAACGCAUUAAGUUCCCCGCCUGGGGAGUACGGCCGCAAGGCUAAAACUCAAAGGAAUUGACGGGGGCCCGCACAAGCAGCGGAGCAUGUGGCUUAAUUCGACGCAACGCGAAGAACCUUACCAAGGCUUGACAUACACCGGAAACGGCCAGAGAUGGUCGCCCCCUUGUGGUCGGUGUACAGGUGGUGCAUGGCUGUCGUCAGCUCGUGUCGUGAGAUGUUGGGUUAAGUCCCGCAACGAGCGCAACCCUUGUUCUGUGUUGCCAGCAUGCCCUUCGGGGUGAUGGGGACUCACAGGAGACUGCCGGGGUCAACUCGGAGGAAGGUGGGGACGACGUCAAGUCAUCAUGCCCCUUAUGUCUUGGGCUGCACACGUGCUACAAUGGCCGGUACAAAGAGCUGCGAAACCGUGAGGUGGAGCGAAUCUCAAAAAGCCGGUCUCAGUUCGGAUUGGGGUCUGCAACUCGACCCCAUGAAGUCGGAGUUGCUAGUAAUCGCAGAUCAGCAUUGCUGCGGUGAAUACGUUCCCGGGCCUUGUACACACCGCCCGUCACGUCACGAAAGUCGGUAACACCCGAAGCCGGUGGCCCAACCCCUUGUG
rnacentral:rRNA from 1 species